rnacentral:rRNA from 1 species
UACGUAGGGGGCAAGCGUUGUCCGGAAUUAUUGGGCGUAAAGCGCGCGCAGGCGGUUUUUUAAGUCUGGUGUUUAAGCCCGGGGCUCAACCCCGGUUCGCAUCGGAAACUGGAAGACUUGAGUGCAGGAGAGGAAAGUGGAAUUCCACGUGUAGCGGUGAAAUGCGUAGAGAUGUGGAGGAACACCAGUGGCGAAGGCGACUUUCUGGACUGUAACUGACGCUGAGGCGCGAAAGCAUGGGGAGCGAACAGG